rnacentral:lncRNA from 1 species
UUUUUUUUUUUUUUUUUUUGCCACAGCUGUGAUAUGUGGAAGUUCCUGGACCAGGGAUUGAACCUAUACCAUAGCAGUAACCAGAGCCACAGUACUGACAACACCAGAUCCUUAACCUGCUGAGCCACCAGUGAACUCCUGGCAUUAUAAUCUUAUUUCUCUUGAUUGUUGAGUUUGGGGGCAUCCUCUUAAAUUUUGUGGCCUAGGAAGUGCCUUACCCCAGUAUCGGCCCUGUCUGGAGCCUGGUAUUCGCUCUCUUCAUCUGUCCGUGCUUGAGGAUGAAUGGAUGAGCCAGAAGGAAGCUGGGAGCCAGGCAACCACCAACACUUGCAAUAGCAGGGCAGCAGCUCCAAGCAAGGGUCCUAGGUCAGGGCAGUCCUGGCUCAGAAAUUGACUUCAUUUUUUUAACCCCUUGGGCAAUUAUGGAGCCUCAAUUUCCCCUUCUGUAACAUGGGGAGAAAGUAACUACCUCAUGGGGUGAUCAUGAGGGGUAACUGACACCUUUACUGUUAACUCGGACCACUUCUCAGCCAGCCUGAGUCUCUCCCUGGUCACCUAUUCAACAUCUCCACAUGAUUAUCUAUUAAACCAAAUGCAAUUCCUGGAUCUAACUUCCAAAACCACUUCCAGGGUCUCCACCCUUUCAGGUGCUCAGGCUACAAGCUUUGACUUGCCUCUUUCCUUUCCCCCACCCACUGCUCACCUUCUGUCACCUCCCUGGUCCUGCCCCAGCACUGAUCCAUCCGAACCAGUGCAGUCGCCUCCUCCAUGGUCCCCCAGCUUCUGCUGUUGACCUCCACACUCUGUUCCCACACAAUGGCCAGAGGGCACCUUGAACAUCUGAGUCAGGGCACAGACCUCUGCUCAGAACCUUCCAUUGCUCCCAGCUGAUUCCAAGCAAAAUCCUUCUCUCCCCCCAGCACACCAGGCCAGCACAAUCUGGUCCAUCACCUCCGUCCCCUCACUUCUUCCUUUUUGUGCCCUCACUCACUCACUCCAGCCACACGAGCUCUCUCAUGGAUCCUUUGAACACCCAGCAUGUUUCUGCCUCAGAACCUUUACACAGACCCUUCCCUCUGCCUGGAACCCCCCUCCCCCCCCCCAGCUCUCCAAAACUCUUCCCUCACCUCUUCCGGUCUUUAUCCAAAUAUCACCAUCUCAGAGAGGUCUUCCCCGACUUCCUCGAUCUCACAUUGCAGCCAUCACCUCGUCUCUU